GACGAACGCUGGCGGCGUGCUUAACACAUGCAAGUCGAACGGAAAGGCCCUGCUUUUGUGGGGUGCUCGAGUGGCGACCGGGUGAGUAACACGUGAGUAACCUGCCCUUGACUUUGGGAUAACUUCAGGAAACUGGGGCUAAUACCGGAUAGGAGCUCCUGCUGCAUGGUGGGGGUUGGAAAGUUUCGGCGGUUGGGGAUGGACUCGCGGCUUAUCAGCUUGUUGGUGGGGUAGUGGCUUACCAAGGCUUUGACGGGUAGCCGGCCUGAGAGGGUGACCGGCCACAUUGGGACUGAGAUACGGCCCAGACUCCUACGGGAGGAAGCAGUGGGGAAUAUUGCACAAUGGGCGGAAGCCUGAUGCAGCAACGCCGCGUGCGGGAUGACGGCCUUCGGGUUGUAAACCGCUUUCGCCUGUGACGAAGCGUGAGUGACGGUAAUGGGUAAAGAAGCACCGGCUAACUACGUG
rnacentral:rRNA from 1 species